rnacentral:hammerhead_ribozyme from 1 species
ACCCAGUUUACGGGUCCCAAAUAGGAUGAAACGAGCGUCCUGGAU